GGAGUUGUGGUAGCAGUUGGUAGAGUAUGAGACUUAUAAUCUCAGGGUUGUGGGUUCACUUUCCAUGUUGGGCAAGUCCG